CCGGGCUGCAGGACUUGUUGAUCUGGUCCCUCACCCUUCGGCUGUCGGGGCUCGAACACAGGAUCAUGGAGCGGGACCGGCUGAACGCUGAGAGCAUCGCUCUGAAGAAAGCUGGAGACCCAGAGGCUGCUGAUGGUAAAGUGAUCCGUCCCCUCAACAUAAACCACUACGCCACGAAGAAGAGCGCCGCCCAGAGCAUGCUGGACGUGGCGCUGCUGAUGGCCAACUCGUCCCAGCUGAAGACCGUCCUGUACGUGGGGCCGCGCUACCGCUUCUACAUCCCGCUCAUCGUGCUGCUGUCCCUGUCCAUCUGCCUGCAGGUGGCGGUGGGGCUGCUGCUGGUCUUCAUCGCAGUGAAAUACGACCUGAAUGAUGUCAGGAAACGCCCAAACUGAACAGGAUGAACAACGUGGCAACGGUCUUUGUCUUCUUCACCGUCCUCAUCAACAUCUUCAUCACAGCUCUUGGCUUCGAGGGUCACUCUAUCAGAUCUGCGUCCCAUCCAGUGUCCAUGCCAGAGCCUCACUUGUCCAUCAUGCCUGAAGACUUUAAUGCCACUGGACUCACAUAGGAGGUCAGAGGACUUUACCUCAACCCGGACCACUCAGAACCACCCAGGACCCC